UUGGGUUAAGUCCCGCAACGAGCGCCAACCCUUGUCAUUAGUUGCCAUCAUUUGGUUGGGCACUCUAAUGAGACUGCCGGUGACAAACCGGAGGAAGGUGGGGAUGACGUCAAGUCCCUCAUCGGCCCUUAUGGGUAGGGCUUCACACGUCAUACAAUGGUCGGUACAGGAGGGUUGCCCAACCCGCGAGGGGGAGCUAAUCCCACAAAGCCGAUCGUAGUCCGGAUCGCAGUCUGCAACUCGACUGCGUGAAGUCGGAAUCGCUAGUAAUCGUGGAUCAGCAUGUCACGGUGAAUACGUUCCCGGGUCUU
rnacentral:rRNA from 1 species